GAUGAAGAACGUAGCGAAAUGCGAUAAGUAGUGUGAAUUGCAGAAUUCAGUGAAUCAUCGAAUCUUUGAACGCACAUUGCGCCCCUUGGUAUUCCAUGGGGCAUUCCUGUUCGAGCGUCAUUUGUACCUUCAAGCUUUGCUUGGUGUUGGGUGUUUGUCUCGCCUUUGCGUGUAGACUCGCCUUAAAAUAAUUGGCAGCCGGCGUAUUGAUUUCGGAGCGCAGUACAUCUCGCGCUUUGCACUCAUAACGACAGCGUCCAAAAGUACAUUUUACACUCUUGACCUCGGAUCAGGUAGGGAUACCCGCUGAACUUAAGCAUAUCAAUAAGCGGAGGA
rnacentral:misc_RNA from 1 species